rnacentral:rRNA from 1 species
GUCCACAGCCAUACCACCCUGAACAAGCCCAAUCCUGUCUGAUCUUGGAAGCUAAGCAGGGUCGGGCCUGGUUAGUACUUGGGUGGGAGACCACCUAGGAAGACCAGGUGCUAUAGGCA